UCCCAUAUGAGCGCUAGUGGUCUGGUGUGCGGUCUUCAAACCCGUAGCAGAUGAGAGUCUGAUAUUCCACCUUCGAUUCCACCUUCUGGGCG